rnacentral:rRNA from 2 species
UACGGAGGAUCCAAGCGUUAUCCGGAAUCAUUGGGUUUAAAGGGUCCGUAGGCGGUUUAAUAAGUCAGUGGUGAAAUCUGGUCGCUCAACGAUCAAACGGCCAUUGAUACUGUUAGACUUGAAUUAUUAGGAAGUAACUAGAAUAUGUAGUGUAGCGGUGAAAUGCUUAGAUAUUACAUGGAAUACCAAUUGCGAAGGCAGGUUACUACUAAUGGAUUGACGCUGAUGGACGAAAGCGUGGGGAGCGAACAGG